rnacentral:lncRNA from 13 species
CAUAAAUUCACUUUCUGCAAAAACUCUGUUUGGGGUUGGCUAUUUACUUUGCAAGCCUACCUGGUCCCCUCGCUCAUUCUUGAGAGAGUAGGAGACCAAGAACCUUGGAGAAACGUCCUCUCAGGGGAGCUGAGGGCUGAACCCCUGAACCUCAACAUUUUGGCAAGCCAGCCAGGAGAGGGGUACAGCCAGGAUAGUGGUAUACCCAGAGAAGACUUCAAACCCUGAGUAACACCGGCCCCAUUCUGUCCUAUCUCUUUAAGAACACUGAAUCAGCACUGAGCCAGCCAGAAUUAAAAUCCCAGUGUUUUUCCUCCUAGCUCUCUCUCUGCUUUUUCUUGUUCUUCGUCUCUGUCUCUCUUUCCCUCUCCCUCUUGGCUAGUUCUCUGGGCAAAAACCUGUGGGAGACAGGACAAACGUUGUAGAACGAGGCACAUGCGGUGGAGAAGAACCAUAAGGUCACAAAUAAUCCUGCCGCUGGAACCCCAGAUGUCCUUGGCUUGUGAGCUCUAUCGUGGACAUCAGGAUCAACCUGCACCCCUGAAAGGCUCCCCUCUGGAGGAAACCUCAACCGCAGGGCCCCUUCUACACCCCAUUUCAGCAGGAAGUAAAGAGGAUCGACGCCUGUGUUCUAACAGAAGUUGGGCUUUCCUAUUCAGACGCGAGGGAAUGAGGGAAUGUGUUUUCUUUCUGGGUCCACCAGAGGGCGUAGUUUUAAGGGCCAGAACUUCCCAGCACCAUAGCCCUCUCCCAUCUCUCUCCAUCCAGGAGAUUUAACGGUCUCCGUUUUGAUUUUCCUGUGCACGAGAAGAACCAAAAAUCAAUCACUCCAGCAGAAGUUCUAAGGAACUCCUUUCAUUGACCAGGGGUCUUGGAGAAGGUGGGGGUUCCCCCCAGGUUAAAAGUCCUCUUCUUCCUCACCCCUUUGGACUCCAUGUUUGAGUCCCCUUCCACGAAUACUCUCUUCAUGGAAGCCAUCUUUCUCUCUCCUGAAUUCCCCCUCUGGAGUCCCCUUCCACACUCUUCUACUUUUUCUCUACCUAAAUAAAUCCACUUUCUGUAAAUACUCUGUUUGGGGU